rnacentral:rRNA from 1 species
UACGUAGGGGGCAAGCGUUGUCCGGAAUUAUUGGGCGUAAAGAGCGUGUAGGCGGCCAGGUAAGUCCGCUGUGAAAUCUCGAGGCUCAACUUCGAGCUGUCGGUGGUAACUAUCUGGCUAGAGUCCGGAAGAGGAGAAUGGAAUUCCUGGUGUAGCGGUGAAAUGCGCAGAUAUCAGGAAGAACACCCGUGGCGAAGGCGGUUCUCUGGGACGGUACUGACGCUGAGACGCGAAAGCGUGGGGAGCGAACAGG